UUAUUACUCCCGACGUACCAAAAUUCUUGUCUUACGUUUGUCUAGAUACAGAUGUAUCUAACACUAAAACGUAACUAGAUACAUCCGUAUUUAGACAAAUCUAAGACAACAAUUUUGGGACGGAGGGAGUACUAA
rfam:Triticum urartu cultivar G1812 contig786511, whole genome shotgun sequence.